rnacentral:rRNA from 1 species
UGUAUUUAUUAGAUAAAAAACCAAUGCCCUUCGGGGCUUUUUGGUGAUUCAUGAUAACUUUACGGAUCGCAUAGCCUUGCGCUGGCGACGGUUCAUUCAAAUUUCUGCCCUAUCAACUUUCGAUGGUAAGGUAUUGGCUUACCAUGGUUUCAACGGGUAACGGGGAAUUAGGGUUCGAUUCCGGAGAGGGAGCCUGAGAAACGGCUACCACAUCCAAGGAAGGCAGCAGGCGCGCAAAUUACCCAAUCCCGACACGGGGAGGUAGUGACAAUAAAUACUGAUACAGGGCUCUUUUGGGUCUUGUAAUUGGAAUGAGUACGAUUUAAACCUCUUAACGAGGAACAAUUGGAGGGCAAGUCUGGUGCCAGCAGCCGCGGUAAUUCCAGCUCCAAUAGCGUAUAUUAAAGUUGUUGCAGUUAAAAAGCUCGUAGUUGAAACUUGGGCCUGGCUGGCGGGUCCGCCUCACCGCGUGCACUCGUCCGGCCGGGCCUUCCUUCUGAAGAACCUCAUGCCCUUCACUGGGCGUGCUGGGGAACCAGG